GGUAAGGCAGUGGAUUGCAAAUCCUCUAUCCCCAGUUCGAAUCUGGGUGUCG
rnacentral:tRNA from 13 species